GAGUUGCCAGAUUCAGAUUUCUGAAGUCGAUGUAAAUGCGCAAUGCACCACUUUUCUUUAAAACAGGAACGAUAUUUGCCAACCAUUCGACGUAUCGAGCUGUCCGAAUGAAUCUUGCUUUCAAGAGACGAACAAGUUCAUCCUUGAUGCCGAGUUGCACUUCGGUCGAGAAUCGUCGAGGUGGUUGACGGAAAGGUUUACACCCAGGUUUAAUACGUAACUCAUGCUCGACGAGAGUGCGAUCUAAGCCAGGCAUCUCAUGGUAGCUCCAAGCAAAACAAUCUUUGAACUCCUCAAGCAAAGCACGAAGUUCAGCUUUCAUAGGUUGGGGGAGCAAAGCACUAAUAAAUAAAGGUCGUGGGUCAUUGGCCGUCCCAACAUUAAUUUCGUCCAACGGGUCCUUGACUUAGGGCUGAUUGUCUUCGAGCUCGGCCGGGGUAACUUGAAUUUUGUUAAGAGAUAAGACAGGACCAUUUUCUCCUUCGGCGAGGAACUCUACGAGGUUAACGCCUAAAUUUGGUUGCUUAGAUAUAGUAUACCAAUGAGCCAGCAGUUGUUCUAUAGUAGAUGAAACCGCGGCCCUACGUUUUUCCCGAUCGGUGUCAAACAUCGGGGUCGGGGAUGAAGUCAGCUAACCCGAGUCUCACCGAAUCCUAGUGGACAGUUUCGGCGCCAACCUCGAUAGCUUUCUGCACAGAAAUCUGAGUCGGCUGUCCUUCAUCAUUGAAACCUUGUAGGGUGAUGUAGCCGAUAUGGUCAUCAUAAUACCGUGCUUGGAUCAUGUUAGCUUCGAACGGCUGACUAUCAAUCGGGUGAACAAUGACCGAUUUGCCGUCCCAAAAAAUAAGCACUUGAUAUAAUGACAAAGGGAUACAGCUGGUUUAAUGAAUCCAGUCUCGACCGAGCAGUGCAUUAUACUCGGUCUUGGAGUCGACGAUGAAAAAGGUGGUCAUGUGAUUACGGCCGGCGAUGUUUACUGCUAUAGGAAGCACCCCUUUGGUUUGGGAUUUGUCUCCAACGAAACUGCUCAUUGUGAUCCCAGAGGGGAUAAGUUCGUCGUUGGAGCGACGUAACACCUUCAUGAUGUUUACAGGCAUGAUAUUGACAGUGGCUCCACAGUCGACAAAAACUUUGGAGACUGCAUACCCUUUGAUAUGGGCCGUUACAUACAAUGGCUUCAAAUGAUGAAGUUUGGCCGAUGAUGAUCGAGGAAAUAAUUCGGCCAAAGCUGCCUUGAGGUUGUCAUCUUUU
rnacentral:lncRNA from 1 species